GCAGCAGCCGCGGGAAUACAUAGGUGGCAAGCGUUGUCCGGAAUUAUUGGGCGUAAAGCGCGCGCAGGCGGAUCAGUCAGUCUGUCUUAAAAGUUCGGGGCUUAACCCCGUGAUGGGAUGGAAACUGCCGAUCUAGAGUAUCGGAGAGGAAAGUGGAAUUCCUAGUGUAGCGGUGAAAUGCGUAGAUAUUAGGAAGAACACCAGUGGCGAAGGCGACUUUCUGGACGAAAACUGACGCUGAGGCGCGAAAGCCAGGGGAGCGAACGGGAUUAGAUACCCCUGUAGUCCCUGUCUCUUAUACC
rnacentral:rRNA from 1 species